rnacentral:rRNA from 1 species
GAUGAACGCUGGCGGCGUGCUUAACACAUGCAAGUCGAACGAAGCAUUUAAGACAGAUUACUUCGGUUUGAAGUCUUUUAUGACUGAGUGGCGGACGGGUGAGUAACGCGUGGGUAACCUGCCUCAUACAGGGGGAUAGCAGCUGGAAACGGCUGGUAAUACCGCAUAAGCGCACAGUACCACAUGGUACAGUGUGAAAAACUCCGGUGGUAUGAGAUGGACCCGCGUCUGAUUAGCUAGUGGGCGGGGUAACGGCCAACCAAGGCGACGAUCAGUAGCCGAGCUGAGAGGGUGACCGGCCACAUUGGGACUGAGACACGGCCCAGACUCCUACGGAAGGCAGCAGUGGGGAAUAUUGCACAAUGGAGGAAACUCUGAUGCAGCGACGCCGCGGGAGUGAAGAAGUAGUUCGCUAUGUAAAGCUCUAUCAGCAGAGAAGAUAGUGACGGUACCUGACUAAGAAGCUCCGGCUAAAUACGUG